GCAGCCAUUGCAGGAGAGACUGUUAGCACAGCGCCGAAGGGGAAUCGCCCCAGAAACUCUCAGGCAAAAGAACUGUGAUGGCGUU
rnacentral:ncRNA from 2 species